AGCUUUUUUUAUGUGUGCUGAGAUUUCGUCAGUAACUAGUUCAUUGAGGUUGAUGUAACUUCGUAAAUUAGUGAAGUA
rnacentral:pre_miRNA from 1 species